rnacentral:rRNA from 1 species
ACGAACGCUGGCGGCGUGCUUAACACAUGCAAGUCGAACGGAAAGGCCCUGCUUUUGUGGGGUGCUCGAGUGGCGAACGGGUGAGUAACACGUGAGUAACCUGCCCUUGACUUUGGGAUAACUUCAGGAAACUGGGGCUAAUACCGGAUAGGAGCUCCUGCUGCAUGGUGGGGGUUGGAAAGUUUCGGCGGUUGGGGAUGGACUCGCGGCUUAUCAGCUUGUUGGUGGGGUAGUGGCUUACCAAGGCUUUGACGGGUAGCCGGCCUGAGAGGGUGACCGGCCACAUUGGGACUGAGAUACGGCCCAGACUCCUACGGGAGGCAGCAGUGGGGAAUAUUGCACAAUGGGCGGAAGCCUGAUGCAGCAACGCCGCGUGCGGGAUGACGGUCUUCGGGUUGUAACCCGCUUUCGCCUGUGACGAAGCGUGAGUGACGGUAAUGGGUAAAGAAGCACCGGCUAACUACGUG